rnacentral:lncRNA from 1 species
UGGGGGUUAUAUAUUGGUACUCUGAUUGAGUUCAUUAUUUUCGUUCUAGCCCUACCAUAGGAUAAGUGCAGUCAGCUUAAGGCUACUGAGUUAUAUGUGCUUGGUUUGAAUCAGAUUUAUGAUUAUGUAUAUAUAUAAAUAUUUAAAAAUAUUUAAUUUAUUUAAGUAAGCUUGAAAUAUAUUUUUAUAUUUAUUCAUGG